UGGGGAAUAUUGGACAAUGGGCGCAAGCCUGAUCCAGCCAUGCCGCGUGAGUGAUGAAGGCCCUAGGGUUGUAAAGCUCUUUCACCGGUGAAGAUAAUGACGGUAACCGGAGAAGAAGCCCCGGCUAACUUCGUGCCAGCAGCCGCGGUAAUACGAAGGGGGCUAGCGUUGUUCGGAUUUACUGGGCGUAAAGCGCACGUAGGCGGACUUUUAAGUCAGGGGUGAAAUCCCGGGGCUCAACCCCGGAACUGCCUUUGAUACUGGAAGUCUUGAGUAUGGUAGGAGUGAGUGGAAUUCCGAGUGUAGAGGUGAAAUUCGUAGAUAUUCGGAGGAACACCAGUGGCGAAGGCAGCUCACUGGACCAUUACUGGCGCUGGGGUGCGAAAGCGUGGGGAGCAAACAGG
rnacentral:rRNA from 1 species